rnacentral:rRNA from 1 species
GUGCCAGCCGCCGCGGUAAUACCGGCAGCACGAGUGAUGGCCGAUAUUAUUGGGCCUAAAGCGUCCGUAGCUGGCCAGACAAGUCCGUUGGGAAAUCCACCCGCUUAACGGGUGGGCGUCCAGCGGAAACUGUCCGGCUUGGAGCCGGAAGACCUGAGGGGUGCGUCCGGGGUAGGAGUGAAAUCCCGUAAUCCUGGACGGACCGCCGGUGGCGAAAGCGCCUCGGGAAGACGGACCCGACAGUGAGGGACGAAAGCUGGGAUCUCGAACCGGAUUAGAUACCCUUGUAGUCC